rnacentral:rRNA from 1 species
UACGUAGGGACCAAGCGUUGUUCGGAUUUACUGGGCGUAAAGGGCGCGUAGGCGGCAUGACAGGUCACUUGUGAAAUCUCCGGGCUUAACUCGGAACGGUCAAGUGAUACUGUCGCGCUAGAGUGCGGAAGGGGCAAUCAGAAUUCUUGGUGUAGCGGUGAAAUGCGUAGAUAUCAAGAGGAAUACCUGAGGUGAAGACGGGUUGCUAGGCCGACACUGACGCUGAAGCGCGAAAGCCAGGGGAGCAAACGGG